UACGAAGGGGACUAGCGUUGUUCGGAAUUACUGGGCGUAAAGCGCACGUAGGCGGAUUUGUUAGUCAGGGGUGAAAUCCCGGGGCUCAACUGGGGAGGGUCACGCGAUACUGCUCGACUCGAAGGCAGGAGAGGGAAGUGGAAUUCCCGGUGUAGUGGUGAAAUGCGUAGAUAUCGGGAGGAACACCAGUGGCGAAGGCGACUUCCUGGCCUGUUCUUGACGCUGAGGCGCGAAAGCUAGGGUAGCAAACGGG
rnacentral:rRNA from 1 species